CCUACGGGUGGCAGCAGUGGGGGAUAUUGCACAAUGGGGGGAACCCUGAUGCAGCGACGCCGCGUGGGUGAAGAAGCGCCUCGGCGCGUAAAGCCCUGUCAGCAGGGAAGAAUAUGACGGUACCUGAAGAAGAAGCCCCGGCUGACUACGUGCCAGCCUCCGCGGUCAUACGUAGGGGGCCAGCGUUAUCCGGAUUUACUGGGUGUAAAGGGGGCGCAUAGGGCGAUGCAAACUAGGCGUGAAAGCCCGGGGCCCAACCCCGGGACUGCUCUUGGAACUGCGUGGCUGGAGUGCAGGAGGGGCAGGCGGAAUUCCGGGUGUAGCGGUGAAAUGCGUAGAUAUCAGGAGGAACACCGGUGGCGAAGGCGGCCUGCUGGACUGCAACUGACGUUGAGGCACGAAAGCGUGGGGAGCAAACAGGAUUAGAUACCCGUGUAGUC
rnacentral:rRNA from 1 species